UCCUUUUGUAAGAAGCACAAAUUGAACGCAGCACCCUCUGUCCAGGACCUUAAAAGGGAACUCAGAGGAGAUGGACGAUAAUCUCUCGUUCAAGGUGAGGUGAUUAAGCCCACCUGAGUUGAGUUGGCAGUGAUUGCAGAGCUCCUUCUUGAUUGGGCCAGGGACCAGGCAGCCUGCUUUAAAAGGUUGAGGUCAGUUGGGGCUCUGUUUUGUCACUGUGGGCUGUGUUUCUUGUUUUGUGGCCAGUCAAAAUAAAAAUUGAGCCAAUA